UCUUUCAUGGUGUUUCUAUACCUUGUUAUGGAAUUGUAUCGGCCACGCUUGUAGACGUAGAGUAUUUUAUCUUAUUUCGAUAACUCGAUAUCGAGUUAUCUUAACUCGAUAACCUUGUUGCGGUUUCAGAGUUUACGCGCCAGGAUAGGGAGCAGGUUGCCGUUUGUCAUGAAUAUUGCCCUGUAUGUGUAACAGUAUAACUUCAGACCGUCCCCUCGCCCAUACCCGGGCGCGAACCAGCAGAACUGCCUCCAAGGUUGGAUUCGGAAAAAGUUGCAAUGAAGGACAUGUGUUUCCUGUGUAACGACACAAAGUGCCCAGAGGUGACGAAAUGUUUUGAUCAUAAUGGUGACCUGAACCAGAAUCUGCUGACGAUGCCAGGUCCUUUCCAGCAAUGCACAUCCACCCCCUAUCCUCCUUCUGGGAGGUGCACCAUUUGUAGUCUGGAUUAUUAUUACACUGUGUGCAGAAACGUCUCAGAGAGCAUCCAGCCUGCCCUGGAGGCCAACAGCACAGCCAUUACCAACUAUGAACAAGCCAAUUGCCCUGUCAUCGGCAUCGCACCAACUACUGUGAAUGGUUCAGACUUCACUGGAGCUGCUGCUCAAUAUGGACAUCCUGGGGGUGAACUGUGGUGGUGUUUACUGAUCCUCGUCCUGGUCAUUGUUUGCAUUGGCAUCAUUGCUUACAGGUGUAUCAAAAAGCGCAAAAUAGAAAACCUUGUCAUAUAAGG
rnacentral:lncRNA from 13 species